CAUGUUUAUCGCAUUGCAUCAUGGCAUCAUAUCACAUGACGUCAGUCAUAUAACUUGAAGUGAUUUUGGCGCUCAAAGCAAGAAGCAUUUUCGAUGACGACAACGCAACAGACUACAUCAUUUCGAGGUAACGUUUGCAAACAGCAAUCCGGAGAUAGUCAGCAUGGAUGAUUUGGAGGACACCACAUUGUCGGUGUUAAAGGCCGCCAACAUUGAUGAGGGGGUUUUGAAAACUCUCAGCUGGAAUGACUUAAAAGAUCUCUUUCCUGGCCCUGAGCGUUUUCUCAAGAGGAAGAGGCUAUGGGAUUUAAUCAGUCCAGAGGAUUGGGACAGUGGGUUGCUAAUUGUAAAUUUGUAAACACACAAUGUUUCAUGUCAUUUUUUGUGUCAGUUGUCAAUAAAUGUUCA